CUUAUAAAUCAUGAAUAAAUAUAAAAUACACAGACCGAAACUUGAGAUUUCUCAGAGAGCUUAAUUAAGGGAUUGAUUUUAUUAUUUACACUGAAUUAGAAACACAACCAUUUCUUCCCUUCAACUAUAACCAGAGAGCAUAUUUUACAGAGGAAAUUUGAGCUGAACAUCCCAGAAGAUCAACUAGCAGCAUAUGGAGAUAAGCCUGGACAGGAGCUCUAGGCUUUACUCCACAUUCACACUCUCCAGAGAGUGGUCUAACCUCGUUUGAGAUGAUUUUUGGUUUCUCCUGGAUCUCUGGAUACAAUCAGUAAAGAAGGGUCAGCAGAAUAAAAGGACAGUGAGCUAGGGCCUAAAGACCCUAAGCAAAGAAAAAGACAUUGGAGGUGGGAGAUGCACUGGAUGGAAAAGCUGCUCAAGAUGGACGGCACUUCAGAAAGGGAAGGAGGCAAUUCCCAACAAAAAUGCUAACUGCCUGGGCCCAGGAAGCCAUGUUUAAGUCCUAAGUGUGUUUAGACCAGAGAGCCUCCAUGUCUUUUGUUUCACUUGUGUCCAUAGUCUUUUUUUUCAGUUUUCCAAGAAAUGCUACUUGAAACUAUAAAAAUAAUUCAAAUAUUUUAAGCUAAAUAUAUUCUCCUUGCUUUAGUUUCUCUUUUUUCUUAAUUUUUUGUGCCUGGAAGAAUAUAAUUAGUUCAACAUGGUUGCUUAGAGAGACAUUUUCCAGGUCCAAGAAGGCAUACUAUUAGACAUUUAUUCAAAAAUGGGCUCAGGGAAUAAGAAUCUCAAGUAAAUAAUUCAUUAUAUUUGAAAUAAAUGCAAC
rnacentral:lncRNA from 1 species